UGCUAGUGUGCUCAGCUUUGAUGCAAUCUUGUGACUAAGUGUGGAUGCAUCGGAAAUGUUGCAGAGCACUGCGUAGUCGUGUCACUUCCUUUUCUACUUUGAGGUACAGUUCAGUUCACCACCAUCAGAACACCACGAGAGGCUUGUUUCCCUGUCAAUCAACAUUAUUUGCCAUGUCAAACCCUGUGGUCACCAGCCAACCGGGAGCAGGGUCCUACGGUACUAAUGUUCAGACUGGAGAUUGGAGCUCUGGACUGUGCUCCUGCUGCAGUGAUGUGCUGGUUUGCGUCCUGGGUUGUUUCUGCCCCCUUGCAUUGGGAUGUUAUGCUGUAAACAAAUAUGGAGAGAAUCCAUGUUUAGCAUGUGUUCCUGGAGGAAUGGCAUCGAUGAGGACUCACAUGAGGCUUACAUAUGGCAUCCAG